rnacentral:rRNA from 1 species
CUCGUAGGUGGCCAACUAAGUCGGACGUGAAAUCCCUCGGCUUAACCGGGGAACUGCGUCUGAUACUGGAUGGCUUGAGUUCGGGAGAGGGAUGCGGAAUUCCAGGUGUAGCGGUGGAAUGCGUAGAUAUCUGGAGGAACACCGGUGGCGAAGGCGGCAUCCUGGACCGACACUGACGCUGAGGAGCGAAAGCCAGGGGAGCAAACG